GGGCGGUUAGCUCAGUGGUAGAGCACUUCCUUCACACGGAAGGGGUCGUUGGUUCGAUACCAAUACCGCCCA
rnacentral:tRNA from 1 species